rfam:Triticum aestivum genome assembly, contig: Triticum_aestivum_CS42_TGACv1_scaffold_435601_5DL
AAAAUACUCCCUCCGUCCGGAAAUACUUGUCCUAGAAAUGGUUGAUAUCCAUUUCUAAGACAAGUAUUUCCGGACGGAGGGAGUAGAAA